UGGGGAAUUUUGGACAAUGGGCGAAAGCCUGAUCCAGCAAUGCCGCGUGUGUGAAGAAGGCCUUCGGGUUGUAAAGCACUUUUGUCCGGAAAGAAAUCCUUGGCUCUAAUACAGUCGGGGGAUGACGGUACCGGAAGAAUAAGCACCGGCUAACUACGUGCCAGCAGCCGCGGUAAUACGUAGGGUGCAAGCGUUAAUCGGAAUUACUGGGCGUAAAGCGUGCGCAGGCGGUUUGCUAAGACCGAUGUGAAAUCCCCGGGCUCAACCUGGGAACUGCAUUGGUGACUGGCAGGCUAGAGUAUGGCAGAGGGGGGUAGAAUUCCACGUGUAGCAGUGAAAUGCGUAGAGAUGUGAAGGAAUACCGAUGGCGAAGGCAGCCCCCUGGGCCAAUACUGACGCUCAUGCACGAAAGCGUGGGGAGCAAACAGGAUUAGAUACCCUGGUAGUCCACGCCCUAAAACGAUGUCAACUAGUUGUUGGGGAUUCAUUUCCUUAGUAACGUAGCUAACGCGUGAAGUUGACCGCCUGGGGAGUACGGUCGCAAGAUUAAAACUCAAAUGAAUUGACGGGG
rnacentral:rRNA from 1 species